rnacentral:rRNA from 1 species
CGGAGGGUGCGAGCGUUGUUCGGAAUUACUGGGCGUAAAGCGCGCGCAGGCGGCCCUUUAAGUCUACCCGUGAAAUGCCGGAGCUCAACUCCGUGCACGCCGGGGGAUACUGGAGGGCUGGAGACAGGUAGAGGCAGGCGGAAUUCCGGGUGUAGCGGUGGAAUGCGUAGAGAUCCGGAAGAACACCAGAGGCGAAGGCGGCCUGCUGGGCCUUGUCUGACGCUGAGGCGCGAAAGCGUGGGGAGCGAACAGGAUUAGAUACCCUGGUAGUCCACGCCGUAAACGAUGGGCACUGGGCGCGGGUGGGAUCGACCCCUUCCGUGCCGCAGCUAACGCGUUAAGUGCCCCGCCUGGGGAGUACGGCCGCAAGGCUG